rnacentral:rRNA from 1 species
UACGUAGGGCGCAAGCGUUGUCCGGAUUCACUGGGCGUAAAGGGUGCGCAGGCGGGAGUGUAAGUCAGAGGUGAAAUCUCACGGCUCAACCGUGAAACUGCCUUUGAUACUGCAUUUCUUGAGUUAGGGAGAGGUUGAUGGAAUUCCAGGUGUAGCGGUGAAAUGCGUAGAUAUCUGGAAGAACACCGGUGGCGAAGGCGGUCAACUGGCCCUCAACUGACGCUGAGGCACGAAAGCGUGGGGAUCAAACAGG